ACACUUGUAAUUCAAAAAAUAAAUCUUGAGCAUCAAUGUCAAAUUUAUCAUUAUGUUUCAGGGCAUCUUAAAGUUAACACAAUAUUUAUGCAACGUUUCUCAUCCAAUAAAAUUAGUAUCUUAUGAUUAGUAAUAUAAAUUUAUGCAAUAGAGAGUCAUUUUAUGUUCUGUUACCAUUUAAGAUUAGGAAUUUGGAAUAUAAUUUUUUUUUUAUCUUGCUGUUGAUUGCUGACCUAUAGGUAGUGAAAGAUUUUAUUUUUUUUUUAAUUAAAGUAUAACAUUAGUAUUGG
rnacentral:lncRNA from 1 species